UGCCAAUAAAUAAAUUUUUAAAACCAGACUUUGGCUUUUUUCGUUUUCUUUUGUCUCGUGUUUGGCUUUCGUUCUCAGGCCCUCUCAAGCAGAAUCAUGCGCAUUGCUUCGAUUAGCUUUCUUUCCGCAUCGCCAUCGAUCAGGUCAUCCUCGUGGUUUAGAAACAAGAAGUGUUUCUUAUUUCCUAGCCAUCAACGCCCUGAUUUUUGGAUCAAAAUAUACAAUAUAUGUUCAUGAAAUUAUCGAGUGGUAAAUAGCACUGUAGGUAAG